AAUCAUUCUUUCAAAAUGAUUAACAGAUGCUAAAGGAAAAAGGGAAAGUGGGCAGUAAACCAGGGACUCAUUGCUUCACUUGUGGGGCAAUCGAUUACUACUUCAAAUUAUGAGUGAAGACCCAAAUCCUGCACAAAGGGCAGCAACACAACCCCGUCACUGUUGCUACUAUUUCCAUCCAGUUGGUCUCUGGAUCUCGGAGGUGGUGGGCCAGAAUCUGAGCCCGGCUCUACCUCCGUGAACUUUACACAGAGGCUGACACCCAAAUCCCCAGUUCUCGGACAAGCGAGUAAGUAGUUGGCGGAGCAAAGAACAACUCCAGGUGCCUUCUGCCAGAACAGAUGCCAGCGUGGAGGAGGUGCUUUGUUAAAUGGCACUUCAAUCAGCCGUGGGGAGAACGGGUUACAGAGCCUCACAUCCAGCCUCGACGAUUCAACAGCCCGGGAGGGCAAAGGCACUUAUUGGGCAGCUGCCAUGUACCAGACCCUGGACUAGAGACCAGAGAUUUAAAAUAAGAAAUGAAAUAAAAUAAAAGACUCCCCCCGCACCA